rnacentral:RNase_P_RNA from 1 species
CAAGGGGACCAUGCGGCCGCGCUUGCAGGCGGUAUAACCGUCUGCGGUGAGGAAAGUCCGAACACCGCAGGGCAGGACGCCGGGUAACGCCCGGGCGCCGUGAGGCGACGGAAAGUGCAACAGAAAAUAUACCGCCGCAAGGUAAGGGUGAAAAGGCGAGGCAAGAGCUCACCGCCCGGGGAGUAAUCUCCGGGGCAGUGCAAACCCCGUCCGGUGCAAGACCAAGUAGUCAGCCGUUACGAGAGCUGCCCGCUCCAUGGCUGAGGGUAGGUCGCGAAGAUGUUUAUGGCAACAUAAGCGCAAGAUAGAUGGCCGCGCAAACAGAAUUCGGCUUAUGUUCCCCUUGUUUC